rnacentral:rRNA from 1 species
AAAGGAAUUGACGGGGGCCCGCACAAGCGGUGGAGUAUGUGGUUUAAUUCGACGCAACGCGAAGAACCUUACCAGGGCUUGACAUCCCCUGCCAGCAUUGGAAACAAUGUUUUUUACCUUCGGGUAAACAGGGAGACAGGUGGUGCAUGGUUGUCGUCAGCUCGUGUCGUGAGAUGUUGGGUUAAGUCCCGCAACGAGCGCAACCCCUAUCAUUAGUUGCCAUCAGGUAGAGCUGGGCACUCUAAAGAGACUGCCGGUGACAAACCGGAGGAAGGUGGGGAUGACGUCAAAUCAUCAUGCCCCUUAUGUUCUGGGCUACACACGUACUACAAUGGCCGGUACAAAGGGAAGCGAAAGGGCGACCUGGAGCAAAUCCCAUCAAAGCCGGUCUCAGUUCGGAUUGUAGUCUGCAACCCGACUACAUGAAGUCGGAAUCGCUAGUAAUCGCAGGUCAGCAUACUGCGGUGAAUACGUUCCCGGGCCUUGUACACACCGCCCGU